rnacentral:rRNA from 1 species
GGUCAAGCUACAAAGGGCUCGCGGAGGAUACCUA